rfam:Strongylocentrotus purpuratus Contig70011_fixed, whole genome shotgun sequence.
GGCAUGGUGGCUCAGUGGUUAGAGCGCCCGUCUCAUGAACGGGUAGUCGUGGGUUCAAACCCCGGCCGAGUCA